GGGAGAGCUUAGCCCGGGCCACCGAGCGCCAGCACGUCACGACUGCUCCAAACCCUGCACGUCCCGGGAGCUGCGCUUUCUGCGUCUGGGAGAAUUCACCUGUGAAGCUCUCUGGUCCUGAACUUUUGUUUGUUAAGAUUUUUGGAUUUCUCAUUCAGUUUCAUUACCAGUGGACUCUGUGGUUUUUGAGAAGUUGGAUUGAAAAGUCAGAAGUCAGUUCUUAUCUUUCUUCUGCUAUAGUUUAGGUCUUCCUGCCCUGGCACUGAUUUCACAAAAGUUCCUGCUCAUAGGUCUCCAGUCUGAGACAUGGCAUAAGGAAGUUCAUGGGCUAGGGAGUCUAAUCAGAACUGUAGCUGCUGGCCUACACCAUAGCAACAUCAGAUUCGAGCCACAUCUGCAACCUAUGCUGGAUCCUCAACCCACUGAGUGAGGCCAUGGAUCGAACCAGCAUGCUCAUGGAUACCAGCUGGGUUUGUAACCCACUGAAGCACAAUAGGAGCUUCUAGAGCAGUCGAUUUUAAAGCAGAGAUUGAAGAAGUGUUAUGGGAAAUUUACAGGAAGGGUGCUUAAGGGAGCCAACUCAGCUGGAAAGAUAGCCAUUUGCACCUUCUCUUUUUUCUUGUGGCCUGCAAACUUCUCAUAUGAUAGCUGGAUCCUCAGCAUCCAUCUUGGAUUAUGUGGUGAUUUUUAGAAUGGAAGUAGGCCCUUGGCAAUAGAGCAUAAAGAUAAUUUAUCUUAGUCACUGAUGUCCCAUAGAGGCUUCCGUGGACUACGUCCUUCUAGGUUUCCUUUAGGUAAGAAAGAAGUAAAGUGUCUAACUUACUGUAGUCUCACAUAUUUUUUACUUUAUGCCAUUAAUUAUUUCUAACUGGUACAACUGGGUAUAAUAAAUAAGGAAAUACAGUUUUGUCCAGGCAAUUGCUUCCAACCUCAAAGCAGUUUUUCACAAUUUAGCUAUGUAAAUUUCUAUGCAAAUUUUUGCUUAUUGGAAGAUCAAAGAGUCCUGAAUUUUCACUGAUUACAAUACUAACGCUUAGUCACUAGGGAGCUGUGUACUAAACCCUUGCCUUGUAGAACACUGAUCUAUGAGUCUAAUUCUUUACAUGAAUUUUGAUGUACUUUGUCCUUUCUACAUAAUAGUAAUUUCUGGGUAAUUAGAACAUUGAAAGUGUUAAAAGUAUCAUCCCUAAGCACUGUAAAACAUGGACAAAGAAAUGUGCUGGGCAAUUAGAAAAGUUUCCUUCUGACUGCAAGGAAAUGAGUCAUAUGCAGCUGAGAGCAAGCUUUUUGACCUACAGAACUAGGAAGAAUCUGUCCCCCAAAUAGCCCUGAAAUGCAUGAGAAACAAUGAUUUCAGCCAUUCAUUUAAAGAGUGUUGUGUUUUUCUGAUUAUAAAUUUCUUAUUAGAGGGAGUUCCUGUCAAGGCUCAGCAGCUAACAAACCCAACUAGUAUCCAUGAAGACAUGGGUUCUAUUCCUGGCCUUGCUUAGUGGUUUAAGGAUUCAGCAAUGCAGUGAGCUGUGGUAUAGGUCACAAACAUGGCUCAGAUCCCACGUUGUUGUGGCUGUGGUGUAGAUUGGCAACUAUAGCUCCAAUUGUAACCCUAGCCUGAGAACAUCCAUAUGCUGUGGGUGCAGCCCUCAAAAAGAUUAAAAAAAAAAAAAUCUUACUGGGAGUUGUUCAUGGACAAAUGUUGCUGAUCUAUUCAUUUAUCACUGAAAUAUUUUUCAAAAUACGAUGUGAUGCUGGGGAAAUUUGGGGAAAGCAUAUUGGAAAACAUAUCUGCUGUAGUGAUUGAUUAAGUGUGAACUACAAGUAUUUCCAAUGUUGAUUACUUUGAAAAUUGCUAUUACUUUUUUGCCAAAAUGCUUAACUUGAGAGAGUUCUGUUUGAAAUGAUUGGGUAAAGAUAUACAAAGGAUAAAAAACAAUUCUGGAGGAAGGAAAAUAAAUUAAUGAAUAUUACAGUUAAUAAUCUGAACUCUGCUUGACCUGAAUUUAAUGUAGAAUUAGAUAUACAGAAAUCAGAAUUUCAUUCAUGGAACUGAUGCAAGAUUUUAAAGUCCUAGAAUAUCAUACUUUAAUAUAUUUAAAAAAUAUAUUUGAAAGCUUUAUUUUAGUUGAUGUAAGAUCAAGAUUGGAAAGAAUGAUGAAAUAAAGGCUCGCUUACCUGGAAUUUAUUUAAAACUGUAGAAAUAUCAUUCUUUAAAUUAGAAAAAAAAAUCAUGAAUUUUCAUAUAUAUUUUGAAAAGAAGUCAAUUCUCUAUACAUGACAAAACAUGAUUUUUAUAUAAUUACCAUAUAUUUACUGCAUUAUUUUACAUUCCAAAAAGGAUAUGAAUAUGUAAUAUAACCCCAAAAAGCAUAUUGUUGCUAAAAAAUACCCUUGUUUUAAAUUUCUUUGGAUUAUUUCUGUUUUUAUAGAGAUACUUCCAGGAGUCAAAUAAAAAUCAUAACUAACAAAAAUCUCUCUUUCUAAUGAAGAUAUAUUUUGAAAAAAUUUCUCUAAUGGAAAAGUAUUUUUGUCCCAUUUGUUAACAUAUCCCUUUUUUGAAGAAAAAGACAAUGUUUAAAAUAAUAGCAUUUUAGAAUAGAAAUUUGAUCUGCAGUGUAUUUCUGUUUAUCAGAGAAUAUCUAAUCCUUCGGUAUAAAAAGUUGUCAUCCUUUAGGACAUUAGCAGGAGUCAUUAGAAAUAACCCUUUGUACAUUCUACCUUCUAACAUUAAUUGUGUGAGGAAAGGAUGAUGGAGCAUGGGGACAACCCAUAGCAUCUCAACAAUAAAGAGGCUGGAAAUUAUUCACUCCAAAUUCUUUACUUUGUGGAAUAUGAAACUGACUAUUAGAGGUUAAUAGUAGGGAAGAAUCAGUAAUCAAUUGUUGGAUUAAAGCUAGAUAAUGAUUCUCUUAAUUAUUCCCAAUCCAAUGUUCAUACUAGAACAUUUCCUUCAAUUGUUUCUACCUCGUAAAGUUUUUCCUUUCCAAGAUUGUUAAUUUUAUAUUAUUGUAAAGUGGUCAUUCAUUCUUUCAUUUCUAAUAUAAUUAAAGUAUGAAUUUUAUAUUUUAAAAUAAAAUGUGAAUUUGCAUUUAGGAAUUCCUGCUGUGGCUUAGUGGGUUAAGAACCUGACAUAGUAUCUAUGAGGAUGCGGGCUUGAUGCCCAGCCUUGCCCAGUGGGUUAAGUUUCCAGAGUUGCCACAACCUGUGGUGUAGGUUGCAGAUGCAGCUCAGAUCCAGUGUUGCCUCCAUGGCUCUGGUGUAGGCCUCAGCUGUAGCUCCAAUUCCACCCCUGGCCCAGGAACAUCCAUAUACUGCAUGUGUGGCCAUAAAAAGAAAAAAAUUAUUUAGAAAGAUUUAUUUUUAUAAAAUAUAUAAAUGUAUUUAAAUAUUAUUUCAUUAUUAGAAAUAUCAGUUUCUAAAAAUUAGAAGUAUUACCAUUGUUAUUAUUUUGGUAAAAAGAUUAGUAAAGGACCCAUUUUUGUGUCUUAAUACUUGGACAAAUAAAUAGUUGGAUAAGUAUUUAAUACAUAGUAAUGUGCCUGUUACCAUGAGUCUAUAUGCAAUUAUUUAUCACAAAAUUUUUCACUUUUAGAGCAUGUUCUUAGUUUUUCAAACUUGACAUCCUCAAAGCUAUCACUGGAGUUGCUGUGUGUCAUGAUCCAAAUCCCGUGGGUCCCUGGCUGUAGUCAGUGAGAUAGUAGGUCGUCAUGCAAACUAAACUGGGGUGAAGAGGAUCUUUCUUAGGAGUUUGUAAUUAGGACUAAAGAGAGCAUCAGUACUAACUCACCAGUUGGAGAAAGCACAGAAUUUAGAAUUCAGCAAAUUUACUAGCUCUGUGUCUAAAAAAGUGAGCUAGUCAGUCUGCACUGUGAGAAUGAAGUCCAAAUUCAGGAAGUUAAAAGAAAACUAAACUGCAAAUACCUGGCUAUCUAAAAAUGAAAUACAAAUAAGGCAGAUAGUGAAAGAUCUCUAGAAAUAUUACCUAGUUUUAGGCACUCCCAAGAGUCAGUUGCAUCCCUGUCCUUCACAGAGCUUCAUUAUGUAAACUUAGUGUCUCAAAAAUCAGAACUUUUCCUCUUUUAGUGUUAGCUAAGUCUAUGUCACUUGCACCUAAGAGAAAGUAUCUGAGUGGGACUGCAGGUUUGAGGGAACAAUGAAUAUCCUAUUAGCUGGACUGAAAAGUAACAAUUCUUAUUGUAAAGUAGCGAAGUCUGUCUCCAUGUUGUUGCUUCUUGCAUUAGUUAAUCCUUUUUCAAAACAAUCACAACUUGUCUUCCAUUCAUAUGUUAAUACACUGCAGGGGUAUUUGAUUUGGGGCUAUUAGAAUAAAGCUGUUACAAAUAUUCUUCUAUAAGUUUUGUUUUCUGUCCUUAAACAUGAUUUUCCCAACAUUCUUUAACGGAAAAUUUCAAGCAUACAGAAAAGUUGAAAAUCUGACUAGAUUCUUCUGGUUACAUUUUCUACAAUUGAUUUGACAGUUAUUUGCCCAUCUACCCAUCCUUUUAUCCAUUUCUCAAUCCAUCUUAUUGUUUGGAUGUAUUUCAAAGUAAAAUACAACUAUCAGUAAGCAUCACUAUAAAUAUUUUAGCAUAUAUAUAGUUCAACAUUUUUUGUGGUUCUCAGUGUUCUUUGAUAUAAAAUUUAUAUAAAGUAAAAUGCACAAAUAUUAAGUGUACUAUUCAGUUGAGUUUUGGCAAACUCAUGUAGUAACCUAAACUUCUUUCAAGAUCUAGAAUGUUACCAUUACCAAGAAUUCUCUCUCAUGCCCCUCCUUAGUCAAUCUUUGCCCCAACCACCAUGCGGCAACCACUUUUAUAUUUUUUCAUAAUAGAUUUGUUGUACUAUUUUAAGAAAUUGAAAUGAGAGGAAUCCUAUAAUAUAGAUGUAUUAUUUACUCAGUGUUAUAUAUAUAUACAUAAUUAUAUAUACAUAUAUUUUAUUUUUAGGGCUGCACCUGUGGCAUAUGGAGAUUCCCUGGCUAGGGAUUGAAUCAGAGCUAUAGCUGCCAGCCACAGCAAUGCAGGAUCUGAGCAGCAUCUGCAACCUACACCAUAGCUCAUGGCAACACUGGAUCCUUAACCCACUGAGCGAGGCCAGGGGUUGAACCUGCAAUCUUGUGGUUCCUAGUCGGAUUUGUUUUUGCUGAGCCACAACAGGAGCUCUUCAGUGUUGUAUUUUUGAUAUUUAUCCAUGUUGUGUGUAUCAAUGGUCCAUUACUUUACAUGACAGAAUGGUAGUCCAUUUGGAUGUAUAUACCAUAGCCAUUCUUCUACUGAUGGCACAUGGCCUGUGUUGGUUUUGGACUCUUAUAAAAAAUUAUUGUAUAUAUCCUUUUAUGGAUAUAUUUUUAUUUCUCUUGGACAAUGAUAUAAAUUUGAAAUUUCUGAUCCACAGAGUAGGCUUUAUUUAAUAAACACAGGGUCUAUUUAGCUUUGCAACAAAAUUGCCAGAUCUUUUCCCUCAGUGGUUGUAUCUUUUUACUGCUAACAAUAUUGUGAGUCAUAUUUUUAUACUUAUCAACAUCUGGUGUCAACUGUACUUUUUAAUUUUUUGCUAUUAAGUCAUUUUGUCAGUUAAUUUUUUCAAAUUUGUUAUCAAGAAUUUUCUUUGUCUACUUUAAGAUAUUUGCAUUUCUGUAACAAUCUUAGAACCAGUUUUGCAUUAUCUUCAAAAACUCCUGCUAGAAUUAUAGCUGAGAUUGCUUUGAAUUUAUGGAUUAAUUUGGGGAGAACUGAAUUCUUCAAAUUAUUGACAUUCAAUUCAUCAGCAUGGUAUAGCUCUCUAUUAGGUCUUCUUGUAGACUCUCAUCAAUGUGAGGUUUUCAGUGUGUUAAUACUGCACCUUUUUUGCUAAAAUUAUGUGUAAUUAUUGUACUCUUUAUGAUGACUAGUGAAAAUGCAUUUUUCAAAUUCUAUUUUCAUAUUGUUGACACACAUAAAUGUUCUUAUUUGAUAUUUUCCUUGAGUUCUGGGAGUUCUUGUGUCUUGUGGAUGAAAAUCCUUUAGUAUAUUAUGAAUUUGCAAAUAAAUUCUGUGUAUGACUUA
rnacentral:lncRNA from 1 species